rnacentral:rRNA from 1 species
UACCAGCUCUCCGAGUGGUAGGGAUGAUUAUUGGGCUUAAAGCGUCCGUAGCCGGCUUAGCAAGUCUCCUGUUAAAUUCAGCGACCUAAUCGUUGAGCCGCGGGAGAUACUACUAGGCUAGGAGGCGGGAGAGGUCAACGGUACUUCCGGGGUAGGGGUGAAAUCCUAUAAUCCCGGGAGGACCACCAGUGGCGAAGGCUGUUGACUAGAACGCGCUCGACGGUGAGGGACGAAAGCUGGGGGAGCGAACCGGAUUAGAUACCCGGGUAGUCCCAGCUGUAAACGAUGCGAGCUAGGGUGUUGGGGUGGCUACGUGCCACUUCAGUGCCGCAGGGAAGCCAUUAAGCUACGCCGCCUGGGGAGUACGGCCGCAAGGCUGAAACUUAAAGGAAUUGGCGGGGAGCACCACAAGGCGUGAAGCUUGCGGUUC